rnacentral:rRNA from 1 species
CCUACGGGCGGCAGCAGUGAGGAAUAUUGGUCAAUGGGCGGGAGCCUGAACCAGCCAAGUCGCGUGAGGGAAGACGGUCCUAUGGAUUGUAAACCUCUUUAGGCGGGGAGCAAUGCCGGGCACGCGUGCCCGGAGGGAGAGUACCCGCAGAAUAAGCAUCGGCUAACUCCGUGCCAGCAGCCGCGGAAAUACGGAGGGUGCGAGCGUUAUCCGGAUUGAUUGGGUUUAAAGGGUGCGUAGGCGGAUUUUUAAGUCAGCGGUAAAAUGUCCGGGCUCAACCCGGGCCGGCCGUUGAAACUGGGGAUCUUGAGUGGGCGAGAAGUAUGCGGAAUGCGUGGUGUAGCGGUGAAAUGCAUAGAUAUCACGCAGAACUCCGAUUGCGAAGGCAGCAUACCGGCGCCCGACUGACGCUGAGGCACGAAAGCGUGGGGAUCGAACAGGAUUAGAUACCCGAGUAGUC